rnacentral:rRNA from 1 species
GACGAACGCUGGCGGCGUGCUUAACACAUGCAAGUCGAACGGAAAGGCCCCUUUGGGGGUACUCGAGUGGCGAACGGGUGAGUAACACGUGAGUAACCUGCCCUUGACUUCGGGAUAACUUCAGGAAACUGGGGCUAAUACCGGAUAGGAAUCCUUGCUGCAUGGUGGGGGUUGGAAAGCUUCGGCGGUUUUGGAUGGACUCGCGGCUUAUCAGCUUGUUGGUGGGGUAGUGGCUUACCAAGGCUUUGACGGGUAGCCGGCCUGAGAGGGCGACCGGCCACAUUGGGACUGAGAUACGGCCCAGACUCCUACGGGAGGCAGCAGUGGGGAAUAUUGCACAAUGGGCGGAAGCCUGAUGCAGCAACGCCGCGUGCUGGAUGACGGCCUUCGGGUUGUAAACCGCUUUCAGCAGGGGCGAAGCUUGCGGUGACGGUACCUGCAGAAGAAGCACCGGCUAACUACGUG